rnacentral:rRNA from 1 species
CGCCAGACUCCUACGGGAGGCAGCAGUGGGGGAUAUUGCACAAUGGGGGAAACCCUGAUGCAGCGACGCCGCGUGAGUGAAGAAGUAAUUCGUUACGUAAAGCUCUAUCAGCAGGGAAGAAAAUGACGGUACCUGACUAAGAAGCCCCGGCUAACUACGUGCCAGCAGCCGCGGUAAUACGUAGGGGGCAAGCGUUAUCCGGAAUUACUGGGUGUAAAGGGAGCGCAGACGGCCAUGCAAGCCAGGGGUGAAAGCCCGGGGCCCAACCCCGGGACUGCCCUUGGAACUGCAUGGCUGGAGUGCGGGAGGGGCAGGCGGAAUUCCUGGUGUAGCGGUGAAAUGCGUAGAUAUCAGGAGGAACACCGGCGGCGAAGGCGGCCUGCUGGACUGCGACUGACGUUGAGGCUCGAAAGCGUGGGGAGCAAACAGGAUUAGAUACCCCAGUACA